GAGCGGAAAGGCCCUUCGGGGUACUCGAGCGGCGAACGGGUGAGUAACACGUGUAGCAACCNNUGCCCCUGGCUCUGGGUAUAGCCUCCGGAAACGGGGAUUAAUACCGGAUAUGACUGCUCCCUGCAUGGGGGGUGGUGGAAAGUUUUUCGGCUGGGGCGGGGCUCGCGGCCUAUCAGCUUGUUGGGGGGGUGACGGCCCACCAAGGCGACGACGGGUAGCCGGCCUGAGAGGGCGACCGGCCACACUGGGACUGAGACACGGCCCAGACUCCUGCGGGAGGCAGCAGUGGGGAAUAUUGCGCAAUGGGCGGAAGCCUGACGCAGCGACGCCGCGUGGGGGAUGAAGGCCUUCGGGUUGUAAACCUCUUUCACCAGGGACGAAGCUAGGGUGACGGUACCUGGGGAAGAAGCGCCGGCUAACUACGUGCCAGCAGCCGCGGUAAA
rnacentral:rRNA from 1 species